rnacentral:tRNA from 1 species
AACUUAUUAGUUUAAAUUUUAAAAUAUUUAGUUGUGGGCUAGGGGAUUUUUAGGUUA